GUCGGUCCAGGGCAGGAACAUACUCCUAAACGGAUGAGAGAGAGGAGAGAGAGGGAGAGGGAGAGAGAGAGAAGGAGCUACACCGGCUGGGAUUGGGGUGGGCCUGAGGUUUUAUUUUUUUAACUAAACAGACGCCCUCUACAUACAUUAUGGUACAGACUCUGAGCGCAGACACGCUGGUCUUCUAAAUAUCCUUCUAGGACGGCUGAGAGAGAAAGCCCCUCUAGGCUGGCGGACCUCACCUUUGACUCACCCGACGAGCAGGCACUGAGCACCUCAUCUUCCCAGCUCUGGGCCACCUGAGCAUCAAGCUUUGCCUGGCCCCUCGGGGCACAGGAGGAACCCGGAGGGGGCACAGCACUGGCUCUGCGGCUUCCUAGAACCAGUGCUGACGUGGACUUCAUACAAGAGAAGAUUCAUAAAAACGUUCUGUAUACUUUGAAGCCCUGCAUUCAUGUGAGUUAUGAUUCACAUGGGUCCACGGCAGGGCCUGAGAGGGGUGUACCAGGCACCCCCUUGUGGUAGGCACCCCCCACACUUGCUCUUCUCCCUCUUAUAGUUGCCACCCAGCCCUUGGUUUCCAUCGGCCUGAGCUUCACUCCUCCUGACCUGAGGCUUGUUGUGUGACUCGGUCCCAGGGGAGAAUGCCACGUGAAUGUCUGGUACACCCAGCAGGGCUAUUUUCAAUACAGAUUAAGGAAUUGACAUUCAGGUUUGAUGUCCCCUUUUUUAGUGCUUUAAAGAUACCUAUAGUAGGUUGAAUGGUGGCCCCCAAACAGAUAUGUCCAUGUCCUAAUCCUGGGAACCUGUGACUGUUAACGUGUUUGGUCAAAGGGUCUUUGCAGGUAUAAUAAGUUAAGGAUCUUAAAAUGAGGAGAUCACCCUGGAUUCUCAGGGUGGACCCUAAAUCCAGUGACAAUGGGCCUUAAUACAGAAAGGCAGAGAGAGACCUGAGACAGAAGAAGAGAAGGCCAUGUGAAGACGAAGCCAAUGGAGGGAGGAGACGACAGCCCAGGAGUGCCUGGCGCCCCCAGAAGCCAGAAGAAGCAGGAAGGACCCUCCCCUGGAGCCUGCAGGGGGAGCACAGCCCUGCGACACUUUGAUUUCAGACUUCUGGCCUCCAGAACCAUGAGGAAUCUCUCUGCUACUGCGUGAGAAAUAGCCUGAAGGAGGCCAGUUGAAGGGCCAUUGCAAUGGGCCAAGUUCAAGAUGGUGGUGACCAGGAUGGCAGCAGUGGAGGUGGGAAGAGGUGGUUGGACUCUGGAUCUCGCUGAGAGGAGUUGAGGAUGAUGUCACCUGUGACCUGAGCACCUGGAAGGCUGGGGCUGCCUUUCACUCAGAGGUGAGUGCUGGUGAACAGAAGGGAAGAGACCCUGGGCUGGAGUGUGGAGUCUGCCUUGAACUUGUCCAGCCGAGAUCCUGUUAGACUUCCUGGUGGAGGAGUAGAGCGGGCAGGGUCUGGGAUUUAGGAAAGACGCCUGAAAUGUGGGAAUCUUCACUGAUGGCCAUGAUCCCAGAGGAGCAGCUAUGAAGAUGAAGAUUCAAGGGCUGCACGUCGGGGCCCUCCAAGCACAGAGGUAAGGAGAACCAGGGGAGGGUGGCCCCCAGAAGCCAGGGAAGAAAGCGAAUGGAGGGGUAGGGCUAGGUGUGGACUGCUGCCAGACGAGUGGGCUGGGGUGGAGACUUGUCCACUGGACCUAGCAAGCGGCCUGUCACCUGUGACCUUGAGAUGCUCUUUGGAAAUACAAAGUGGCCCCCAUGGGCCUGGCUUUUGCUAAGGACAGAGCCCAUAGAACACACCUGAACGGGAAGGCUUCACAGAAUUGAGGCCGAAAGCACCUUUCCCCACACCUGGAUGGGAACCUGGGCAGCUGCCAUACCUCUCUGGUCAGUCUCAGGUGCGAUAAAGUCCAUGCGUCCGCCACACCUGGUCGCUAAAACAGCCAUACCUCAGGAGCUGCAAUUGCAGUUCCAGUUUAACAUCAAAACUAAAGUUUAUUCAAAGUCACAGCAUCUCCCCUCUUUCAGUUCUACUAGGCUGCUGGCAGGGAAGCCACAGGGAGGUGGGGGUGGAGGUGGCAGCUGGCCCCUGGCUUCUCCUAAUUCCUGGAUCUGGGAAGGAGGGAGGGAGGGACAUAGGAGACAGGAAAGUGUGAGGGAGGGUACUGGUGCCCCUUUGACCCAACAUGGGGCCCUGUAGUUUGGGGGGGUUCCAAAUGUUGAUUCUCUCACAAAUACCCAUAUUUCUCAGAUGGCGACUGAUCCCUGGGACACUCGCUUUUGCCCAGUCAUCCAGAAAGCACAGCCACCUACCCAGUUCCAGGGCUGGCCAGGCAGCUACAGCAACGGCUUUGACCUUUAAUUUAUCAGUCAAGCACCAGACACACAUGUCGUCCCCGCCACAUGGUCCCCUGGUUCCUUGAAGCCCCUCUUGUCAGUCAGGAGGUGAAGGGGGUGCACCUGGGAGCCUCUUCUCUCUUCUCACUCCACCCACCUCUCUUUUAUACUCUCAAGGUGGGCGGUGAGCUCAUUAACAUGACCAGCCAUCCUGGUUUGUCUGGAACUGAGGGGUUCCCAGGACAUGGGACUUUCAGGGCUAAAACUGGGGAAGUCCCUGGCAGACAGGGAUGAACUGGUGGCCAUAGGGCUGGUAGAACCAGUCUCCCCUCUGCAGGAUGCUCACCCUGAGAAUGUGGGGGACAAAAGUGCAAAACAGGCCUCGUCCUGUGCCUGCCAGUUAAAAGUUAAAAAUCACUCUUUGAUGCAUUAAUGCCAUUAAAAUAAAAAUAAUGGUGGAGGAAUUUUCUUAGAUAAAAAGAGGCAAAAGAUAUCCUGACUGAUCUUUUUUGAAAAAUGCUUAAAAAAUAACUCCGAUCAUAUUAAGAAUUAUGAGUAUUUUUUUUAGAUAUGACAAAACUAUUCUGAUUAUGUAGGGGAGUGCUCUUAGGAGAUCCAAACUAUUUCAGGGCGAACCAUCAUAUUGCCUGCAACAUACUUUCAAUAUAUUUUUGGCAAAUAUGGCAAAACCUUAACAAAUUUUGAAUCUAGGUGAUGAAAAUUAUGGGUGGCCACUAAAAAAUAAAGUUAUAAACCAGGCCACAGACUGUGGGGUAAGGAGUGUUCUAUCCUCCUGGCAGGACAAAUACGCCUUCCUAACACCAGAAAGGCGAUGCCACCUGGGACUUUUGGGAGUCCUCCGAGUUCCCUUUGGAGCACGGUGACAGAGGAGACCCAGCCCAGAACCUCCG